rnacentral:rRNA from 1 species
GACGAACGCUGGCGGCGUGCUUAACACAUGCAAGUCGAACGGAAAGGCCCUGCUUUUGUGGGGUGCUCGAGUGGCGAACGGGUGAGUAACACGUGAGUAACCUGCCCUUGACUUUGGGAUAACUUCAGGAAACUCGGGCUAAUACCGGAUAGGAGCUCCUGCUGCAUGGUGGGGGUUGGAAAGUUUCGGCGGUUGGGGAUGGACUCGCGGGGUAUCAGCUUGUUGGUGGGGUAGUGGCUUACCAAGGCUUUGACGGGUAGCCGGCCUGAGAGGGUGACCGGCCGCAUUGGGACUGAGGUACGGCCCAGACUCCUACGGGAGGCAGCAGUGGGGAAGAUUGCACAAUGGGCGGAGGCCUGAUGCAGCAACGCCGCGUGCGGGAUGACGGCCUUCGGGUUGUAAACCGAUUUCGCCUGUGACGAAGCGUGAGUGACGGUAAUGGGUAAAGAAGCACCGGCUAACUACGUG